rnacentral:rRNA from 1 species
CGUAGGGUGCAAGCGUUAAUCGGAAUUACUGGGCGUAAAGCGUGCGCAGGCGGUUGUGCAAGACAGAUGUGAAAUCCCCGGGCUCAACCUGGGAAUUGCAUUUGUGACUGCACGGCUAGAGUGUGUCAGAGGGGGGUAGAAUUCCACGUGUAGCAGUGAAAUGCGUAGAGAUGUGGAGGAAUACCGAUGGCGAAGGCAGCCCCCUGGGAUAACACUGACGCUCAUGCACGAAAGCGUGGGGAGCAAACAGGAUUAGAUACCCUGGUAGUCCACGCCCUAAACGAUGUCUACUAGUUGUCGGGUCUUAAUUGACUUGGUAACGCAGCUAACGCGUGAAGUAGACCGCCUGGGGAGUACGGUCGCAAGAUUA